UAAUACAGAGGUCUCAAGCGUUGUUCGGAUUCAUUGGGCGUAAAGGGUGCGUAGGUGGCGCCGUAAGUCAGGUGUGAAAUUUCGGAGCUUAACUCCGAAACUGCAUUUGAUACUGCGGUGCUUGAGGACUGGAGAGGAGACUGGAAUUUACGGUGUAGCAGUGAAAUGCGUAGAUAUCGUAAGGAAGACCAGUGGCGAAGGCGGGUCUCUGGACAGUUCCUGACACUGAGGCACGAAGGCCAGGGGAGCAAACGG
rnacentral:rRNA from 1 species